UACGUACGAGGCGAGCGUUAUCCGGAAUCACUGGGCGUAAAGCGCACGUAGGCGGACUCUUAAGUCGGGGGUGAAAUCCUGGAGCUCAACUCCAGAACUGCCUUCGAUACUGAGAGUCUUGAGUCCGGGAGAGGUGAGUGGAACUGCGAGUGUAGAGGUGAAAUUCGUAGAUAUUCGCAAGAACACCAGUGGCGAAGGCGGCUCACUGGCCCGGUACUGACGCUGAGGUGCGAAAGCGUGGGGAGCAAACAGG
rnacentral:rRNA from 1 species